UACGUAGGGGGCAAGCGUUGUCCGGAAUCAUUGGGCGUAAAGAGCGUGUAGGCGGCUUGGUAAGUCCGCUGUGAAAGUCCAGGGCUCAACCCUGGAAAGCCAGUGGAAACUGCCAAGCUAGAGUCCGGAAGAGGCGAGUGGAACUCCUGGUGUAGCGGUGAAAUGCGCAGAUAUCAGGAAGAACACCAAUGGCGAAGGCGGCUCGCUGGGACGCGACUGACGCUGAGACGCGAAAGCGUGGGGAGCAAACAGG
rnacentral:rRNA from 1 species